GUGUCAGCAGCCGCGGUAAUACGGAGGGUGCGAGCGUUGUCCGGAAUCACUGGGCGUAAAGGGCGCGUAGGCGGCAGGGAAAGUCGGCGGUGAAAGCCCGGAGCUCAACUCCGGGUCGGCCGUUGAUACUUCUUUGCUCGAGCACUGUAGAGGCAGAUGGAAUUCCGGGUGUAGCGGUGGAAUGCGUAGAGAUCCGGAAGAACACCGGUGGCGAAGGCGGUCUGCUGGGCAGUUGCUGACGCUGAUGCGCGACAGCGUGGGGAGCAAACAGGAUUAGAAACCCGGGUAGUCC
rnacentral:rRNA from 1 species